GACAGCUCCUUAGAGCCAGUGUGGGUUAAGUUUGGUGUUUUCAGGAGCUGGGUGCAUCAUGAAAAUGUAUACUGUCUGCAUUUGGGCAUUCAUACUCAUGGAAACACAGAGGGAGAGGCAGGAGAAGAGGAAGAUGUGUAAGGCUAGGGCAGGGCAAGGCAAAGAGGGAAGUUUCAGGGAAGUUUCAGGGAAGUUUCAGGGAAGGGAAGGGAAGGGAAGGGAAGGGAAGUUUCAGGGAAGUUUCAGGGAAGUUUCAGGGAAGUUUCAGGGAAGUUUCAGGGAAGUUUCAGGGAAGUUUCAGGGAAGUUUCAGGGAAGUUUCAGGGAAGUUUCAGGGAAGUUUCAGGGAAGUUUCAGGGAAGUUUCAGGGAAGUUUCAGGGAAGUUUCAGGGAAGUUUCAGGGAAGUUUCAGGGAAGUUUCAGGGAAGUUUCAGGGAAGUUUCAGGGAAGUUUCAGGGAAGUUUCAGGGAAGUUUCAGGGAAGUUUCAGGGAAGUUUCAGGGAAGUUUCAGGGAAGUUUCAGGGAAGUUUCAGGGAAGUUUCAGGGAAGUUUCAGGGAAGUUUCAGGGAAGUUUCAGGGAAGUUUCAGGGAAGUUUCAGGGAAGUUUCAGGGAAGUUUCAGGGAAGUUUCAGGGAAGUUUCAGGGAAGUUUCAGGGAAGUUUCAGGGAAGUUUCAGGGAAGUUUCAGGGAAGGGAAGUUUCAGGGAAGUUUCAGGGAAGUUUCAGGGAAGGGAAGGGAAGGGAAGGGAAGGGAAGGGACGAAGCCGAAAUUAAGAAAAUUAAAAGGGAAAAUUAAAAUGGGAGGAAAAGGAGAGGGUAAAAGAUUAAAAUGGUGACAGGAAAAAAGGGUUAAGGGGAAGAAGGAAGCAGGAGGGCAAAAAGAAUGAAGAAAAAAAAGGAAAAAUAAAAGGAAAAAAACAAAAGAAGAAAGGGACCACUGAGAUUUUUCUAAUGUAUCUGGAACAUGGCCAAAACCAUGCAGAGAUUGUAG
rnacentral:lncRNA from 12 species